GACGAACGCUGGCGGCGUGCUUAACACAUGCAAGUCGAACGGAAAGGCCCUGCUUUUGUGGGGUGCUCGAGUGGCGAACGGGUGAGUAACACGUGAGUAACCUGCCCUUGACUUUGGGAUAACUUCAGGAAACUGGGGCUAAUACCGGAUAGGAGCUCCUGCUGCAUGGUGGGGGUUGGAAAGUUUCGGCGGUUGGGGAUGGGCUCGCGGCUUAUCAGCUUGUUGGUGGGGUAGUGGCUUACCAAGGCUUUGACGGGUAGCCGGCCUGAGAGGGUGACCGGCCACAUUGGGACUGAGAUACGGCCCAGACUCCUACGGGAGGCAGCAGUGGGGAAUAUUGCACAAUGGGCGGAAGCCUGAUGCAGCAACGCCGUGUGCGGGAUGACGGCCUUCGGGUUGUAAACCGCUUUCGCCUGUGACGAAGCGUGAGUGACGGUAAUGGGUAAAGAAGCACCGGCUAACUACGUG
rnacentral:rRNA from 1 species